ACAAACCUGAACACUUAUAACUCCAAACAAUUGACGUCUCGUGGAGCUCACAGUAAGACCAUGGAGUUCACGUAGUGAAAUACUCGAAAACAUGUUGCAACCAACAUCAAGUUUCAAUAACAAGUUGGAAAAUUUCAAGAAAAUAAUGGGUCAUCUGACCCGUUUGACCAGUUACUAACCUUCACGCUCGCGAUCCAAUCUGUAUGUAUAUUAUUCGUCAAGUUUUGUGACCCAUUCUUGUCAGCUGUUCUUAUGAACACACCAUGUUCGACUGCAAGCCAUACAUUAUAAUCUUCAAAGUUCUGCAGAAUCAUUGAGUCAACAAGAUUCAGAUUGCAACUAAAAAGCAAGAAAUUUAAAUGCAGUUGCAAAUAAAAAGCAUGUUACCUUUUCGAGUAUGCAACGUUGGCUCCCACUUAUAAUAACAACCGUUGAUGUUGGAUCAUCACAAAGCCUCUUUAAAGGUUGUUCUAGCUCAAAGCCUCUUUAAAGAUUAAGCAAAAAGACUAUAUAAUCAAAUAUUAGCUUCUCACAAUUAGUUGUGAACUUAUAGCUGUGUGUAAAAAGGUUAUAUAAACAUGUGAGCCAUAGUUAAAAGUUAAAACCAUAAAACACAAUUAUUAGAGCCUAUAUAAAUUUGUAAGAUAGAAGAAUCAAUGCAAAACGAAACAUGGAAAUUGCCAGGUUUUGAAUUGUCAUAUCUAACAUGUUUAAUAAAUAGACCGUGUUAAUAUUAACGUGUUCAACAUGUUUAACUAAACGGGCCAUGUUCAGGCUGACCUGUUUAAUCCAUUUAGUGUAUGUUUGGCAUGGAGCUUUUAGGAGCUUUUAGCUUUAAGCUUUUAAGAAAAAGCUCAUACUUAAUAAAAAGUCUUGUUUGUUUGAAGGAGCUUUAAGCUUUUAGGUUAGGAGCUUGAAGCUUUUGGUUGAACGCUACUACUAGUAGCGUUUAGAAGGAGCUACAAGCUUUUAGGGAAAAAUGACUAUUUUAACCUCUCAAAAUAAGAAACUUUUUAAUUCACCAACUUUCUAAAUUUUUAGUUAUGUUCAUUUUGGUAAUUUUAUACAUUUUAUUAAAAGCUCUAGCUACUCUACCAAACACCAAAUAUAUCUAAAAAGCUACAGCUACUAGCUACCAGCUACAGCUACCAGCCACCAGCUUCCAGCCCCUAGCUACCAGCUUCCAGCUUUCAGCUAUCAGCCACCAGCUAGUUUUGCCAAACAUACCCUUAAUCAAACAUAUCAACCAACCCGUUUUAAAAGCUCCCAAUCAACCAGCCAACCCGAUUAACCCAUUUGUUACAACUUGCCACUGUGUUUAACACGUUUACAAUUUGAUUACAACCCGUUUGACUCGUUUUGAUAAACGGGUUGAACGGGUUGUGUCCGGUUUACAUGAUUUAAGCACGUUUACAACUAGAUUAUAACCCUUUUACAACCCGAUUGACUCGUUUUGAUAAACGGGUUAAACAGGCCGUGUUCAGUUUACAUGAUUUUAAGUAUGUCCGGGCUAGGGUGAAUGUCUUUGACACAAACAAAGAUAAUGGGUCAUGUUCAAGUUCAACAAUUCAACCCACCUGACACAGUGACCACCCCUACAUGAAAUAAGUUUUUUUUUUUUUUUUUUUUUUUUUUUUCAGUUUAAAGCGGUUAAAGAUGAAUAGAAAACAAAACCACAUGCUCAAUCUAGUAGUAGACCUGGCAAACGCCUCGGGUUGGGUCGGGUCGUGGGUCAAAAUGGGUUCGGGUCAAAAUGGGUACGGGUCAAAACGGGUCAAUUAAAAAAAGGGUUGCUUUGGUUCGGGUCAAAACGGGUUCGGGUCGGAACGGGUUUCGGGUUGGAUCGGGUUAGUUAAGAAAUGCUUUUUUUAAGAGAUUGUACAUCAUGGGGCAAUUUUGUCAGGUUAAAACGGGUCCGGAUUGGUUCGGGUUGAGAAUGGGUUCGGGUCAAAAAAAGUGGGCUUCUUCAGGUAAUACUGGUGUUGUUGUUGAAGAAGGUCUACAAAGAGUGCCACCAGUAGUCAACUCUCAAGAGGUUCCAGAUUUAUCUACUUCUACGAUCAUUGAAUGCCAAAGAAUUGGAUUUGAAGUAAUUUUUAUGAGUUUUUAAAUUUGUAGAUAGUUUUAGACUUUUAGAUGUGGAAAUUUGAUAUGUUUAACAACUAGUUUUUAUUCUUAAAUGAUUUCCUUUAGAUCUUCUAGUAACUCAGUAAACAAAAUUCAAAUAAAAAAGUUAGUUUCAUGACUUAAUGACUUAUAAUUGGAUCAAGUAGUUACAUAUACAUGUGUACUGCUCCUAUCAAUAGUGUUUGGGGUGGGGUGGGGUGGUUGAUAACAAUGAAACGGUAAGUGCCUGUGAUUGUUCCAUGAACAACAGUGCCGUUUUUGAGUUCGAUCGAAACCAGAACCAUAAAACUUAAGAUAAUAAUCAUCCAGGGUAUGUACCUUCAUAUUCUAAAAUCAAGAAUAUCUUUUUUUAAAUAUAUAACUUAAAUAAAAAAUCAAAACUUGUUAUCAUACUACUAAAAAACAACUCAUAUAUCAAUAUAUUUCCACUAAAAACAAAUAUUUUUUCUCUCUCCUUUUCAAUUAAAUAAUAUUUUUAUACCUUUAUCAUUACAUUUUUCUCUCUCCUUCACUCACAACCGCUUUUAAUAUAUAUUAAAAAGUUAUAGUGGGUGAACAGUGUCGCCCCAAAUAUACAGAUGAACAGUAACAUUUUCUCUCUCCUCCACUCACAACCAUUUUUUAUACUCUUUAUAUUUUAAAAACACCACACUCACAAUUUGAUUCUUUGGAUGUGAAUGCUCUAAAGAGCAGAAACCAUAUGAGAUCAGACCAAAAAAAAAAAAAAAAAAUCCCCAAAAUUAAGGUGAUUCGCAUAUAAAUAUUAAUCAAACUCAAAUACAACAAAACUAGUAAAAGAUUAACAAACAGAUCCAAAACUGAAUUAAAUAAAUUAAAACUAAUCACACCCAUGUAAGCAAAUAUUAAUCAAACUCAAAUACAACAAAACAAGUAAAAUAUUAACAAACAGAACAAUUAAUGUACACAUCAACAACAUUCCUGUUAAACCUAAAAAGACUUCAAUCACAUAUGUUAUUAUGGCCCAAAUUCAAUAACAGGUUCACUACUUUCAGCUAAUUUUUUUUUGGGUCCAAUCAUUUCUAAAGCUAAAUUUAAAACCGAAAACCGACGAAUCCAACCCAUACGAAAAAAGCGAAAACCGAACCUUCGGUUUGCACACAAAGCCAACCUAUCCCCUUUUUAUACACACUUUUUUGAGAUGGCGAUCGGCGGAGUGUGAUAAAGCGGAGAUGCCGGCGGAGGGUGGGGGGGGGGGGGGGGGUUUGGCGGAGGAGAUGAAUAAUCAAUCACAUGACUACAAGUUCCUUCCUAUCCCCUUUUUAUACACACUUUUUGCCAACUAUUCACCCAAAGUUAGAGUCUUUUAACAACACAUGUGUUUCUAAAUUCAAGCAAUUCAUAAAUUAAUAAAUUAUACACAUACAUACCCAUAUAAAAAAAAAAAAAAAAAAGCUGAGAUAAUUAUAACUUACAGCGUUGAGGUUUUUGUAAUGUGGGUUUGGAAAAAAGAUUGGAUUUCGGUGGGGGUGAUGGUGAUUUUGGAAGAAUCUACAAGAAAACUAUGGUGGGGUGGGUUCGUUGUGAUUUGUGAACUUGUGAUUGGGAGGGGAGUGGAAGGGGCAGAACAGUGGAAGAUUGGAAGAAUGAAAUGAAGAUUUUAUAGGGGGGGGGGGGGGGGGGGGGUUGGGGUUGUUUGAAUAGACCCCUUGAGUAUGUGGUUGUUUUAGAUAGGGGUUGGAAUGUUGGAUUCGUUAAGAAAAUGAGUGUGUUUGUGUUUGAUCGUUAGUGUUAUAAACGAACGUAUAUGUAACAGAGGUGAUGUAUUGAUUUAAUAAAAUUAUACUAUAUUGUAAUAGGUAUGUAAACGAACUUUAAAUGAAGUAAGCAAACGGACAUUCACGAACAUAAGUGAGCAGGCAAAAUAUGCGUUUGUGUUUGUUCGUUUAGUUAAAUAAAAAAACUUUAUGUUCGUUCGUAUAUUAAGUAAACGAAUGGUACAUGAAAUGUUUGGUUGUUUACAAGCCUAUACGUGUUUAAACGUAUCUAAUGGAGUGUCAAAGGGCUUGUACCCCAAUGAUAUCAAAGGGUUAUAUUGUUGUUCAUCUCUCAAAAUGGUGAAGAUUCUAGUCUCACUAGAGGAGUAAAUUUUAAUAGUGUACUUUUUCGUUCAAAAAUAGUAUCGAACCAAGUAUAGUUGAAUUUAAAGGUACCAAGUCGUGUAAAGUUAAAUUCAAACUUGUCGAGGCAGUUCAUAGUAGCUUUGAUAGAUUUUAUUAGCAGGUUAAGUUGAGCCAAGCUUAGACGAAUCAAUAAGCUAACUGAGCUUGAAUUUCAGGUUCAGGCUUCAUUAAGCUCGUGUUGAGUUUAGGGUCGAGUAGAGCUUAAGAUUUACCUCGAAUCAACUCAACCUGACUCAGUCACAUAUGUAGUUUUGGAUUUAGAUUUUAAUUUAUUAAAGAUAUAGUACAACCUGACUCGGUCCCGUUUUGAAUUUAGAUUUUAAGUUAUUGAAGAUAUAGUAAUGCUAAGACCACCACUAGUGGUAAGGGAAUUGUGAUUUUUUUUUUGUCCCAAAAAGCCCCACCACACCACCCCUGGGGGGUUUUCUUUCAAAAAAUGGGUUGGGUGUUUCCUCAAACACGCCUCCUCAACUUUAUGAUAGUCAAUAAGAAAUUUCCGACUCAUUUAUGAUAAUAUUAUUUGUUUCAUUUUUUCUAAAAGGUAAUAAUUGGGUAAUCAUUACAAAGGGCAUUAUGGGGCAUCAUACCACUACACCCCUUUUUUAACUUCAAGCAUUAUAAUGCUCUUUGCUGAUUAGGAUGCCACAUGUCAGAUAAUGCCCAAGGGAGGGGUUGAACUUCAAACCCUGCUACACAUGGUCUAAAGAUGAUUUAAUUAUAAACUAAUUAAAUAUUUCCAUAACGAUUAGGUUGGUGGGUGAGGGGUGCGCACCCUACCACAUCACACUAAUAGCGCCCCGGGAUGUUAUAUGCCCUAAAGGUGGUGGGGCCCCUUGUUUUGUCUGUCUGGGAGCAGUGAAAAGGAAAAAAAAAAGUUUAAACCCCUAUAUAUAAACAUACUUCUAACAAAACAGCUACAACUCACUUAAAUCUUUCACACAACUCGCUCUCUAAUUUUUUCCCUGGAGUUUUCUAAUGGCAAGACGUUGGAUCGAAGAAAAGGAGAUAACAUUGGCUAUUGGUUGGAUGAUUGUCACCGAGCAAAUACGGCCUGAAGCAUCGUUGUCGUUUUGGAACGCCGUUUUUGCACAAUUCUGUCAACGUGUGGGUGAAGCCCACCGCAAGAUUUAUGAUAUUCACUGAAAGUAUAGGGACAUCCAAGCAACGUCUAGAAGAUUUGAGAUAGUCUUCAAUGAAGCGAUGAACGAUGGGGAGGUGCUAACUGAGGAUGAAGCGAUUGAGGCGGCUCCUCGCGAGUACCAACACCACUACGACGGUAUUUUUUUACUUGUCAUCCAUGAGAUUAAAAUUGAACAUCUAAUUAUUUCGGAAAAAAAGAAAAUACUAAGACGGUAUUUUUUUUUUUUUUUUGGGUUCUUUAACUUCCAUAGCAUCUAGAGUAUUUAAAGUAAUUUGGACAGAACAAAUAUGCUU
rnacentral:lncRNA from 1 species